rnacentral:piRNA from 1 species
UACUAGUCUCGAAUCUGAUCUUGCUAGAU